AGUAGUCGGGCGAAAUUGGCGUGUAACAAUUAAAGAACUCCUUUAAUUAGUUGCCGACUCGCCUUAUAAGCUGGGUACAGAGGCAUAACACCUUAGUCCACAGCCAUGGCAACGCAUGAAGGAUAUCAUGGGUGACGUAGUAUACUUUGUUAUGUCCAUGGUACUGAUAUAGGCGACAGGUUACCACUUUCCGUCAGUGGCAGAUUUAGCAGCAGGCUGAGUAGGCUAAAGUCUAGAGCGGCAAAUUUGAAGCCAAUUUUGAUUGCGAAUUACGAUAUUGAAUUAUAGAACUCAGUAGAAGCGGUAAAAUUUACAUACUCUACUGGGGGAAAAGAUGUAUAUCCGCUACUGAUUUUUUUUUUUAUUAAAUGUCACUGUUAACACAGUGAUACUUAAUACAUACGUAAAAUUUUAAUAAUAUAUCAACUUAACUUGAUAAAAAAUAUUAAAGAUUUUACGAAAAAUUUUUUUUAUCACAGUAGGCAUUUAAGAAUUCAUUCACCAUUUUCAUCUAAAUAAAUUAAAUAUUACUCUUAUUAAAUCUAUAUAAGUUGAACCUAAAUUUUUUAAUAUCUCUGUAGAUUAUUGAUGCCCUUUAAUUCCUCUUCCUUUCUUUGAAGAAGCAAAAUAGAUAAAAUCAUAUCGGAAAAAUUAGUUCAGAGUAUGAUAUACCACAAAGCCGAUAUACCUAAAGAAGGUGAAAGCCCUUGAAAAUAAAACACAAUAAGUAUUCUAUUUUAUUGUUAUAACUGUUUGUAUUCUGGAGUAAAAAACUAUAAGUAUUGUAAAUUGUUUGUCACCCUACCGGUGUAACCGUAUACUGUAAAUGACUAGCAAUUAGUUGCGUAGUUACGUAUCGAGUUACAGUUUUGUCGAAUCGAGUUGAUAGUGGAUAGAGAUAGCAGGAUAGAUAUGAUGUUGUUGAUUAGAAAAAAAAUGUUUCUAUAGAUACCUCGAUGAUGAUCACGGUCAUUAAAAGCUUUAAAAUACUCAGCCAUAGAGAGAAUGCUCGGAGUUUUUUUGCGUGAUAGAAUUCGCAAAAAGGAUAUCCGUAGGAGAACCAAAGUGACUAAAAAACCUUGAAGGAUAAACAACCUGAAGUGGCAAUGGGCUGAUCACAGCUCGAAGAACUGCCAACCGAAGGGGAAGAAAGAUUCUUAAGUGGAAACCUCCGUACAGGCACACCCAGUGUAGGAUGACUCUCGACGAUGGAGUGACGACCUAAUGCAUUGCAGGGAGCCACCUGCAUGAUAGCUUAUGAUCGUUCCUUAUAGUCUAUGAGGGAGGUCUAUGUACAGCAGUGGACAAACAAGGACUGGUAUGAUGAUGAUGAUGAUGAUGAUAGAUACUUCGAUAUUUACGUCAUCAAAAUCAAAAUACGUAGAACAUUAUACAGUACAAGUAAAUUUGGGAUAAUAAAUUAUUUCAUGAAUUAUAUUGCUGACUUAAAAUACAACUAGAUUCUCUUGACGAGAUUUGUAUACAAUUUAAAAAUCUUGUCUGCAUCAUGUUAAGAAAUUCUCUCACAACUUCUAUGUUCUGUGUGGUGCAGGCGAUGAAAAUUUCCCGCUGUGCAGCGGGCACCGGAUUUUAUAACAAGUUGUCGCUGCAUUACGUACAUUGCGAUGCACGUAAAUAAAAUACAAAAAUAUGUCGUCUAUUGCUCUAUGGGUCAUGUAGCAUCGGCAUAGAUUAAUGGACGUGGAGAUUGCUUUUUUAAAUUAUUUUGGCGCCAAACUAAUUUUGUAUCUGCUGUCAGCCUACAAUUUUGUAUAUUGUUUUUAUUUGAAUUUGAUAAGUUGUUACCAGUAAAGUUUUCUGAAUGCCUCCCAAUUGAGUUAGAUGGACUAAUUUUGCGAUCAAAGUUUUUAAUGGCUGAAAAUGAAAUAGUUACCCUACUUACGCUAGUAACACUAGUGACGAAUAAUAGAUAAGGAUAAAGCAUGUCAAUUGGCCCAUUGUGAGGAAUUCAUUAAUAAUUAAUUACAAUGGUUUCCGCGUGGAGGUCGACUUGAUGUGGUAUAUUGCUCUUUCCUCUCAUACUAAUAUUACCGCGUCGUACGUUUAUAUAUAAUACGCUUAUAUAUAUAUCAGUGCUUUCCAUAUUGACAUAUUGAGCUAAACUGAUAUAUAUAUAUAUUAUAGAAAAAAUAUUUCUAAAGUAUAUAUUUUUCGGGAAAAUAUUGAAAAUCAUUAGUAGAAAUCACAUUGCAAAGACAUGAUUUUGAUUUUACUAUGAAUAUCUUAGACAUCUUCGUGUUGGCAACAAUAUAAUAAGGAAGACACCAAAAGUUUCAGUGACAGAAAAUUAAUCUAUCAUAGGUGUGAAUUAAAUAGAUUUAAGUACUAAUCAAUGAUAAGGUGCAUGUACGUCAUAAUAAAACGUUUUGUUAGGUCGAUUUAUCAACACUAUUCAUGGCGGGGAUAUAAAUAAAAUUGACAUUAUCAGCCAGUGAUAACACGACCUCGAUCAGUCAUUCCGAUAUUGAAGUAGAUAUAGGUACCUAUCUUGCGCAAUACAUAUAUUGCCAUAUAUCUAUCCAAAACUAGGUAAAUUCUGCAUACUAUAGACAAGUUGGCACCUACUCUUAUCUAUUCUGUAUUUAAAAGUAAGUAAAUAUGUUUUAAAUGUGUACAUUGUCUAUGAUUACAGAUACUCUGUUGCAUAAUAAUGUAUAAUCUCGUACUAUCCUUUAUGUAUAUAAUAAACUAACUUCCAUAUACAGUAUUUUAGCAAUUCAAGUGUUUAUUGUACACACAUAUAUUACGUGUGUGUAAAAACCGCCGUGUGGCCCCAGCAUAGAAUAGGCUACCCCUUCUUUUCCCGUGGGUCUCGUAAGAGGCGACUAAGUGAGAGCCAGGGAUGGGGAGCAGCGUCUCUCUUAUAAUAUCUCCCUCACCUAACUGCGGUUGCCAAUUCGUCUGCUAAGCGUGGCAAUUACAGGCAAAAUACCCCAAGGGGUAUGCUUAUGGUCAGCAGUAAAUAGUUAAAGGCUGAUAUGAUGAUGAUGAUGUAUAAAAGGAAAUUUAUGAAUUUACUAUGUUUGUCGUUUCAACAAUUGUCGGAAUUGUUUCGACUUAAU